rnacentral:lncRNA from 1 species
UGGGACCAUGAACCGUGCUUUGAUACCAAGUUUGUCACGACCUGAAUCAGGGCCCUAUCCGUGAUGAGCAUUCUCGAACCAUGAAGGCCCAGGACGCCCUCUAUCUAUCUGCUAAUCAUGCACAGCAUUCAUAUAAUAAAAGCUAAUGCAGAAAUAGAAAUCUAAAAUGGAAACAUGGUCAGUCUAAAUGUGAUCAUAAUACUGAAAAAUUAAAAUCCAAAAUAUAUUUGGAUAAUAAUAAUGUCUGACUCAGUCUACGAAAUCUCCACUAUGAACUAAACAAAACUGUCUGAAAACUAGGACAACGCCCCCAGUAGACCAAAACAUGACUAAAGAUAAAUAUCUGAAAGUAAAAAAGCCUUCUGGAAUAUAGAAGGCUCACCCCUGCAUAAUCUGCUCUGCGAUCUGAAAUAUCUACUGUUUAUCUGGACUUCUAGACUGAGUCUCAAAACCUGGAAGGAGGGGGAGGGUCAGCACAAAUGUACUAGCACGCGAAGCAAUCCAAAAUAAAGUAUUUGAACAUAUAUAUAAUAGAUGAGAACAAUUUUCAUCAACACAUCACGUAUAAAAUAGCUUCUGAAAACACAUGGGCAUCAUUCAAAAAUCAUGUUAUUUUUGUCAAAACAAUUUCUAAUCUUUGUAUUACUUCUGAGUUAGGUGGCACUGCCCUACAAGUCUGAUAUUCCACGGGCUAUAUGAAAUCUGCCAUUGACUCGGCGGAGAAUCCCCCAACCCAAGUGUCCCGCAAGGGUUGGAGUGUCUGAGUCUGAUACGCCACACGACACUUAAGCCAGCGUAUAAUAAUAUACCCAGAUUGGCAAAUCAAGGUUCUGGGCAAUGAGUUGUCUGAACUCACGCCUUCUUCGGGGACCACCUAACAUCUCUUUAUGUCCAAUUUUUAACCUUUUCUGAACAUGUAUCAUUCUAAAAUUUCAUAAUCAUGAAAGUCUGAUAAAAUCUGAUUUCUGAACUAGUCUGUGUCUGGUAUGGCAUUUGUCUGAGUUGGUAUCAUCAUACGAAGACUUGCAAGUCAUAUUUCUAAGCCAUAAUGCAUUAAGCAUGAUCUUUCAUAAAAGUGUAGUUUCACACCACCCAAACAUGUAAUUUACAAAAAAGAUUUCAUGUUCCGAAACUCAAGUUAAAACCAUGCAAAAGCUUUCAUCAAACAUAUGGUGGUCAUGUGCUUUUGGCAAAAUUAUGAACUCUUUCAUUAUAUGUAUAUUCAACAUUUACAACCCUCUCUUUCGUGUUCAAAAUCAUAUUCCAAACAUAGAAAAGUCAAAGCAUUUCAUAUCAUGAUUUUUCAAGACGUAUUUCAAAACAAUCUAUAUCAUGUGAAACAUGGGAAAAUUACAUCAAGUGAGGGAUUUCAUGUAAAUCAUGCUUUCAAUUCAUAUUUCAAGGCAAAACACAUAUAUACAUAUACAUAUAAUUUUCAAGUCUCUUUGGGGGAAAGCCAAAAGGCUAAAACAAUAUCAUUUAAAGAUUGUAAAACAUGAAUAUGUACAUGAAUUCAAAAACCCCUUUCUUAACAUAUGAUUUCUAUGCCCAUAAGAAUUUAUGAAAACCCCGCGUAUCUCUAUUUAAGAUCUUUGAAGCCUACGAUGAUCUUUGAAGCCUACGAUGUGGGGAUUCCAAAUCUCUAAUUAUCUUCCAAAACCCACGGUUGAAUCUUGAGUUAUUUGGGAUUUUUGUUUGAAACCCUAAGGGGUAUUCUUGAGAGAAAAUUUGAGAAAAGGAUUAUAUUUUGAUGAAUUGGGGGCUAAAUCUGAUGUUAUAGACGAAAUUUGGGUGUGGAGAAAUGACUAAAAUGCCCCUAAUAAAACAAACAAAGUCGAAAUUGUCCCUCAGUUGACAAACUGACAGACUGAAGUAAAAGGGGUAUAACUCCUUACUCAGAUGUUAGAUUUGGAUGAAACCAGUUGCAUUGGAAAGAAAACUCAAAGAUAUUUCAUUUGAUAGGUAGCAUCUCUCCCAAUUCAUUAUAUCCAGAGAGUUAUGAUCGUUUGAAAUUGACCCUAAAAUGCUGAAAAUCGGGCAACAGGCUAUGUAUUUUGCUACUGUUUUGAAAUCCAAACGCAGCCUUAUGCAUUCCGAAAAAUUCCGAAACUUAUCCGAGAUGUACUAUGAGCUUGUACGAUGGUAACACAACUUCAAAAUCUACAAACGGAGGUUGAAAAGUUGUAUCCCGAAGAUUGGCAGCUAAAAUGACUCUAAGUCCUCAUUACACUUAAAAAUUUUUUCAAGUUUUUUAAGUCUAAGAGAACUCUAUUAAAGGCUAAUCCAUGCACGACUUUUACGGUGUGUUACACUGGAGAGAGUCAAUUAGGAGAAGUAGAUGAAGAAGACAGAAAUGGAGAAAAUGAUGAAAAUCAAGAAGAAAAUGAUAACGAAGAAGAAGAAGACAACAGAGAAAAUACAGGAGGGGACGGUAAAGUGAAUCAUCAAAAUUCUGAAAUGGAAGUGGAAAUCAAGAGUCAAAGGGAGAUGAAGGCGAAUAAGACACAGAAAAUGAUGAUAAUCAAGAAGAAAAUGAUGACCAAGAUGAAGAAUAAUACGAAUUAGUAAUAGAAGAAGAUGACAACGAAGAAGAAGAAGAAAAAGAAGAAGAAGAAGAGGAAGAAGAAUAAGUUGAAGAUGACAAAGAAAGAAGAAGAAGAAGAAGAGCUGCUGAAUAAGGAAAACAACAAUUGUCUGAACAACUAUCAGUUACUGAAUACUACAUCGACUAUGAUGCUGAUCCUCUGGAUGUGGCGAUUUAAAGAUCAAUCUUGUAUUUCAAGUGCCACUAUGGGUAUUCUCCACAUCCACCCUCAUUUGAUCUCAUCUAUCACAUCAUGACUGCAGUCCCCGAUUUGGAAAUCAGCAGAGAAGAAUUAAGGGAAAAGAUCAUAGCAUAUAAGCAAAUUUUCAAUAAAGUUAGGAAACUGGUAGGAGAUAACCCCAGAUGGACCGACCUAUUAAUCAAGAAUUUUUUGACUUGUGUAUGCGAAUAUGGGGUAAUCAGGAUGAUGAUGAUGGCUUGAGAUAGAAAUAGCUUGUGAUACUAAUUUUCAAACUCAUUGCAGUAUAAACUUUAUAGCAGCAUUAGGAUUUUCUGGCUAAAAGUUCUUUUACUCAUUAGCAGGUUGAUUUUGUGAGUGGAUUUGAUGUAUGGGCUAUUCUUGUUAACUUGUUUGAAAUAUCUCUGCUUCCAUUUAUAGAUGGAGUAUUGUUAGUGACAAUUAGUUAGCAUAUCAAUUUGAAAACGAAGUGCACGAUGCUGUUCUGAUCCAUUUAUUCUGAUAUGAAAUCUAUGGUUGGUAUAUAUUACAUGCAUAGUAUAUUACGAAACCUUUAAAGUAGAUAAUAAGAUCAUCGUGAUGUGGUUUUCCUGUAUUUUCAGUUCAACUGUAGUUUUCAGUUCACUUUCCACUUUUGUUUAAUAUCUUCUCUUUAACAUAAUUACAGAAUCAGAGAUGUCAAUUCUUCUGAGGAUGGCGAAAAAAAAAAACAGAUAGAUAUAUAGCAUGUUUAAAAUGUACAAGAAGAUGGUACUAGCUAUCGUAUUGAUGAAACUCGAAAGCCCUAGAAAUGAUGAGAAACAAAACGUAGUGACAGAUGUACCAUAUAAUCUAAGAAUCUAAGUGAACCCGACAUUUGAAAAAUCCUCGGAGAUGAAUUAACAAAGAUUUGAAGAUGAAAUUUGUCUAAUGUGCUAUGUACUUUGUCUCCGCUAUAGAUGAAAUGAUCAUCAUAUCCGAAUUAUAAAGUUAUUACACAAUCAAAUCUGAGCAAAUAGAAUGUUGAAUUGAAUCGAACCAAUUUCUGCCGGAAGUUAAUACAAGUAGUUUGCUGUUCUCUUUUCAGUUCACCAGAAAACUGAAAAAGACUAAUGGGAUCAGAAAACAUGCACGGACUGUAUAUUUUUAUCUACAACUUAAAAAUAUGUUCGAUAAAGAACAUUUACCUUAGUGUUUAGUCUAUAUUAGAAUGUACGCUAUGCUUGAGGACAUUCCAAUGUGCUGUAGUUUUCCAUAUAAGCCAAGUUUUACCAGUCAUAAAUCACGACAAAUCAGUACACGCCUUAUUCGAAAGGUCAUUUAUUGUCUGGUCAACAAAAUAAUCUAGUGUGAACACUAUACGUAGAGUUAUGGACUGUAAUCUGCAGUGAGAUUUAGUACAAUUAAUAUUUUACUGAUUUUAGAGAAAUGAAUUAGCUAUUAACAUAGCAAGAGAAAGAACCAUCUCCUCAUUAUCAUAAAAAAAUCUUCUUUCUUUCUUUAUCAGCUCCAUCAUUUUCACAAAGAAUCACCAUGCCGAAAAUGCUAACUUCAGGAGAAAAUCAAGAAUCGAUGAUCCCUGAACUUGCAAAAGUAACAGGAUAAAGAAAGCUCCCAGCAUCUGAAGUGUAUCAAUCGAAGCGUGUGAUUGCGAAAAUUGAACAAAAAGGAAAACAUCCGAUGUCUGAAUCAGAUGAACUGAAGCCAAUUAAUUUGCCUAUAUUUUCCAAUCUUGAAAGAGGAGGAACAUCUGAAAGUAAACUGGAAAAAGAGGAUGAUUAUGAUUAAGAUCAUGACUUAGCAAUCUUGAAGGCUAUCUAUCACUACUAUUUCAAUCACGGGGUAAUUCCACCUCCUCCUUAUUCAAAGAACUUCAUGACUACAUCGACGCUUCAGUUCCCAACGUGAAAUUUCCUGGUCAGGCAUUGGCGAAUAAGAUUGUUAUGUUAGAGCACCAUUUCUUAAAGGUUAUGAAAAUGGCUGCACGUGUAGGAUAUUACCCCAAAAUAAUCCACCCUAUUUGCCGCAAAAUUUUCAACUUGUCUAUGGGUUUAUGGCGAUAAUUUCGGAGACUAUUAUCUAGUUGGCGAAGAUCAAGAUGAAAUUGGAGUUGUUGAUGCGUUCAUGAUUUUCAAGGUCGAUGUCUUCAUUGCGGCAUUUUAAAUUAUUUCUUGGAGCAUUAGUUUAAUGUUUUUAAUUUUCUUUCAUUAAACUGAAUCUAGCUGUUUGUGUGAAUUAAUAAUUUGGAUAUUCGUUAGCUCGAAAUUUUCAGUUCAGUUCAAAAUUUGAUUUGAUAUAAAAUGUUUCCUUUCUCCAAGUUUGAUAUCUUGUCUUCAACUUAUAGAAUCAGAUAUGUUAAUUGUUGCUCUCUUCUUUGGAGGAAGGAAAAUGUCACAACCCGAACCGGGCCCCUGGCCGUGACGAGUAUCUCGAACCAUGAAGGCCCGAAACACCCCUAUCUGUCUGGCAAUCAUGCACAUAAUUCAAAUGAUAAAGAGAUGCGGAAGACAAUAACAUUACGUAAAACAUGCUCAUGAGUCAUAUGAAAGCAAUAAAAGGGAAUAAUGUCUCAACACCUCUAUAACGUCUGCGAAAUCUCUACUACAUGACUGAAACAAAUGUCUAUCUGAAAACUGGGACAAGGCCCCCAGUAGACUCAAAACUAAUAAGUGAUAAAUAACACUGCCAGAUAAUCAGGCCUUCCGAAAUAUAGAAGGUUCACUAAGUGACUCUGCAAAUCUGUUCGAGGAAUCUACUGAUUUUCUGGACCCCUAGAUUACGCCUCCGAACCUGGGAGGAAGGGGUACAAAAAUACUGGUACGCAGAGAUAUAAAAAAAAAACAUAAUAUUUUUACAAAAUAUAGUUGAGAGCCAUGAUAAAGCAGUUUCAUAUCAAGUCAUUUGAAAACACAUGGGCAUAAUAUAAGUGUUUUCAACAACAAUAUAAUGCAGCUGAGCUAGGUGGAAUACUCUACAUAUCACAUAUACACCAACUGUCAAACCUCGGUUGCUGCCGAGAUUAGAGUAUACAUGAGGGGAAGACACACAAGAUCACACAGCAGAGUGUCUCGAUCCAAUGGUAGUGCACAAGAUCAAAAAGCAAGGCUCCUAACCAUAGUCCCAAUUUGGGAAUAACAUAAAGUCAGUUACGCAAGAUCACAAAGAAGGGUACCAAAUUCCCAUGUCGGCAAAUACGGUUUCCAGCGAUGAGCCCUUACACUCAAACGCCUUCUUCGGGCAUCCACCUAUAUCAUGUAAAAUCAAUGCCUUCAAAUUUCAUCUGAUUCAAUCACAUAUCAUAUUCUGUAGGGUAUCGUCAUACCCGACUUGCAAGUCAUCAAUAUCACAUCAUUCUUCGCAUUCAACCAUUGUAUUCAAUAUGUUUCAACAAAAAUAGCCCUCCAGUUUUUGAGUCAAAAUCAUAUCAAUUCUCAAAACAUUUCAUGUCAUGCUUUUCAAGAUAUUUUCAAACAAUUUACAUCAUUUGAACAUUUAAAACAAAUUCACAUCAAGAGAGGGAGUCCAUAUCAUUCAUGCUCUCAAGUUAACAUCUUUUUGGAAUACAUGAAUAUACAUAUAUCAUAUAUCAAAUCUCUUUGGAAUUAGGCCUAAAGACCAAAUUAAUAUCAUAAAGAUGCUUGAAACAUGUUUAUAUUCAUAAUUUCAAAACCUCCAUUUUUAAAAUAUGAAUUUUUAAGACAAUGAGAUUUUUGAGAUAACCCCACAUACCUCAAUUGCUGCGAAUAUUAGGUGAUUCUUGAAGCCUAUGUUGUGAGGAUUCCAAAUAUGUAAUUAGUUUCUAAAACCCACGGUUGAAUCUUGAGUUUCUUGAGUUUUUAUUUUGAAACCCUAGAGAGAGUUCUUGAAUAAUUUUGAUGAAUGAAGGUAUAUUUUGGGGUCUUUGGGAACUAAAUUUCGUAUUUAGGGCUAAGUAAGGGUGGAAAAGGACCAUUUUGCCCCAAAAACGGAGUGUUUAAGUCACUUGAAACCUUUACAUAGGCGCUGCCUAUGCUAUCGCCUAUGUUUACAUAGGCGCCGCCUAUGCUAUCGCCUAUGUUUACAUAGGCGCAGCCUAUGCUAUCGCUUAUGUUUACAUAGGCGCCGCCUAUGCUAUCGCCUAUGUUUACCUAGGCGCCGCCUAUGCUAUCGCUUAUGUUUAUAUAGGCGCCGCCUAUGCUAUCGCCUAUAUUUAUAUAGGCACCGCCUACUACUUUGAAAGACCAUAACUUUUUGCUCGGGUGCCGGAUUUUAGCAAAAUUUGCAUCGUUGGAAAGCUAACUCAAAGACCUAUCAUUUGACACAUAGUAGGCUCUCUAAUUAAACAUAUACAAAGAGUUAUGGUUGACGGAAGAUGACACAAAUUACAACGUCAACUAAAACUUAAUCAAUCGAAAUAGUUUCAACUCGUCCUUGAGUUGAAGGACCUCUAUGGUUUAAAUUCAAGCUUAAAUGGAUUCACAUACUACACAAAUAAUUAACAUGUCAUAUUUUCAUAGGAUAUAUGGCUUCGGGAUUAUCAAACCAUUGAAAUCAUGGUCUAUAUUGUAGCCCAAAAUGCAGGGCAUUACAUUAUCUCCCCCUUGGGAUCAUGCAUCCUCAAAUGAUGAGUAGGAAUACAUUGAAGCUUAGAGGUAUGGAAUAAUGUGGACACGACAUGUCCUCUAAUAAACAAUACACUGAUCUGAUACAUGACCAUAUGGCUGGAACUACUGAUGUUCUGGAUUCUUAUACCGGACAUGCAUAUCUGAUGCAUGGAAUACACGACUGAAGCUACUCAUAAGCUAAAUUCUCAUAAUGAACAUGCAUACCUGAUGCAGGGAUUAGUUACUGAGUUGUUCUCAUAAACGCAGAUAUGAAUACACUGCUAAGCUGAACGUUUUCUAUGUGACAUACAUUUCUAAUACAUGCAUAUCUGACUGAACUGACGUAUGAACAUAUGACUGAAUACGUAAUGAUAACUGGUGCGGAGCUUGUAAUAAGAAUCUAUGCAUGCAGCUGAAUGAGGUAUCUCCCCCUUGGGACCCUAUAUCUCUCUAUGAAUGCUCAAUUCACUAAAAUACUAGAAAAACUAAGAGAUGCAUAGGGCACCUACGAAUUGAAUCAUAACUGAACAUCUGAAAUUUGAAUUUAAUGCAUGAUGCAUGAACUGGGCUAUACUCGUAACUACUGGUAUACUCUAUCUUGGAAUAGUAGCAUAUCUGAGAUUUUGAGUAGCAUGAAUAAGUGCAAAGACGAGAAAAAAAGUCAUGCAAAUCCGAUUGCUAAACUGACUUAUUGGCCAUACAGACCUAAUUAUACUACACCCUCAUACUUAAUUGGAGUAUCUCUUUAGCACAAUUCUCUAAAGAAAUUCUAGUGGUAAUAGGGAUCCAUGAAUCUUGGGUAUGGAUUACAUAAGACAUCCAACUGAGGAAAUCACAACAUUGACACUAUUCUGCAGUCUGGAAUAUAGAUAUAUAACUCCUAAAUUAGGAUAGAAUUUUCAGACCUUUGGCAAUACGACUUCUUACUUUCAGGCUUAGAGCACUUCCCGAAUAUCCCUUAAAUAUACUAUUCCUUAUAAAUAUCAUAUUCAUUCAACUCGGCUUAAAAUUCUCAUAUGAGCAAUGACAAAUCUUUCUACUAAUGUCGGAAAUAACUUAAUCCCUUCGUCGUGAUCAAGCCUUUCUAUGUCACAAAAAAAUACAACAUGUCAGACCUCGCUAUUAUUCUAAACCAUAUGAUGCCACCUUCUAUAUCUCCUUUAAAUAUCACAUCCUAAGUAUAACAUGCCUUACCACUUCAAUGGCUACUCUGAACUCUUAAUAUGAAGUCGCUAAUGCAUAUUGCGACCUUCCACUACAAUCCCAAAACGUCAUUCAAGCCUAUUUUAUAACCACAUGUUGACUUCACGGCAACCAUCCAUAAGUACAUACUUCACAUAGUUUCUAAACUAUUGUCAAUAUAACUCCCAUACGCUACCCUAAGACAUACACACAUAAACUUUUCCACUAACCAUCACGUGUAUCAAAGACUUGGCCCCAACUCCUACUUCAUACUUAUGUCCUUAUCUAAGCAAGCAUACUAUGAUCUUCCAUCAACAAGAACAUUUACAUCAUCACCACUAUCAUUGCAUAGGAAGGGUCAUUAAAAGGUUAAAACAUUACACCCUCAAGCGUGAAAAGAUCUUUAUACGAGAUUGAGCACACUAUAAAGAGUGAGUACAUGUGUCAUGAGUUGCAUGACCUCAACUAGAGUUCAUAACAUAAGGAAUCUGAUUCCGAUUACUUUAAUGAACUAGAACUCAUUAUCUUGGAACUAGAAGAGUACGUGACUCUCUAUCAUAUACCGGAAUCAUGAACUAUGAUCACAGAACUGAAUCGUAAGGCAUGAGUAAGAAUCCGGAUAACUAAAAAAAAUACUGAGGUAGGAAUAGGUUAAGAUCCACUCUCACUCUCUGAUGUUCUAAAUCAUAGUGCAUCACUAGUAGAAUCUUAGAGCCUUACUUGGUCAUUCGUUCUAUCAUCUCCCCCUAAGAUUCACGUCAUCAUCUAGAGUUUGGGAGAUCCUUUACCAGAUUCUAACUGAACUACACUUACUAUACUCUAGGGUCUGAAAAAAAAUGACAAUGCAUGCAUAUAAUAGAACUUAAACCGAAUGACUACCUUCUGGGAUACACUCUAUCUUUCCAUAGCAACCAAUAGUCAUACUAUAAUGCUUGCACACUUAUUUUUAUCGGUUUAUCCUUCAAAACUAAAACUUAUAUUCUAACUCUUAACAUGGAUAUCACCAACCCUUUGAUGAACCAUAUCACUUUCGACACAGCCUACCACUAUUGCGACUCCAAAUUUAUUUCUCUCUACUAUGAGAAUUAAGAUCACAUCAAAAGGCUCAACACUAUCUAUCAAGGCUCAUUAACUUGGCUAUCUAGAACACCAUAUACCAUAUAACUAGUCUUUUUCCAACUAGCAACGCAACGGUACAACUAGUCACACGCAACAUGUAAUAGUCUUAGAGAAAUGCCACAACUCCAUAUUGCCUUGGGCAUAUUUACCCACCAUACCUACAACAUUAUACUUCAUUACGAAUCAACUUAAACUUAAGCCAAUUCAUACAUCGUUCAAGCCUAUUAGAUCACUUCCAUUACCAUAUAACUAGUAUCACUAACCAAGAAAUCAUCACAUCCACCUUCAUGGACAUAAACUAUUCAAACUUAAUAUCUAGUGCUAUGCAUGAUAUACAACCCAACCUUACACAAAAUUUUCACUUGGAAACAAUAAAUAAACAUCAGAAAACACUAGUGCACUAGAACUUCAUAACCCUAAUAAUCGAUCAUGACCUAACGGUUUUCCUUAUCAUAACCCGUUAGCAUGUACUAUUUCAAAACCUUAAGCCUACUAAUUUAAUCCCACAAAACAUGCAUCAUCAAACUCUUGCCAUAAUUUACCACCACACCAGUUAAAUUCCAGCCUAUAGUUUAGUAUCAAUCAUUUACCACCAAUAAAGAAGGCAACAUAAUAUAAAUAUACUAAUCCAUCAAAUUGGGACAUUGUAAUGCCCUGAAAAAUGUGUCCCGGAGAGUCACAGUACGAGUAGCCCCAAGCUAACCCUUUGAGCCAUUUUCAUUCAGUUCAACACAAAUCAACGAGGUUUCCAUGAAUAACCCUCAAAUAUCAACAGAGUAAUCAUCAUCCAAGAAUAAAAGAAUUUUAGAAAGAUAACAAAAUAUGACUUAUUAGUCAACUCCCAAUAUCUAUACUAGUCUGACAAGCCUUUAAAAAAAUCAAUAAAACCAGCGAGCCAUUGAGACAUGCCCCAACUGACUCAUACUCAGUUAUAAAAUGUAAAUAAUUCCGUGAAACCAACAUCAGACAUCACGUCCUCGAAACAUGAGGACUCACCACAAUAGAGAAUGUAGAACAGCGGGCCCGAAGAAUCACUGUCGAACCUGGAACUGAGCACCUGAACCUACAUUCCAAGAAAAUGCAUCCCACAUCCGAAAAUGUGGGUCAAUACCAUGGAAAGGAACCGAGUAUAUGGGGUGUAUGUAUUUUUAUAAACAUCAUCAUCAUAAAUAUUUAUAAGAAAUAUGCAGGAUGUAUGAAAGACCCACAUAGCUCGAAGAAAAUCAUCAUAAUCAUGAGAGGAUGAAAUAAGUAUAAUAACACAUCUGAGUCAUCAUAUAUUUUGUCAAUCACUUUCAGUUCAUCAAGAAUAUCAAUUCUCAUAAUGUAAAUAUCAUUUAAAUAUUUUGAAAGAAUAACUUUCACAAUUCCACUUUUAAAUCACUUCACUGUUCACCAUAGACACAAGGAAACAUACACACACUGGGAGAUCCUAUAACCGACAUAGACCAUGUGAGCUACAUGGAGUCCAACAUACAACCCACGUUCGGGAGAGCCGUCCUAUCAUUGCCAUCGGAGUAGGACUAUCGAUAUCAAAUCCACACAAACUAGUGAUCACUAUAUAAAUCAGCCUCAGGCUCACUCCUACGGGGGCACAUAGUUCUAGGGAAGUAAGGUAGCUUUAUACCUCCCACUCGGUGCUAAAGAUUUCUCCAGGACUUAGCUCAGAUCAUUUCAAAGACAAUCCACAACAAAACAAUUUCAGUAAUAUAUAAAUAUAUACAUCGGGAGCCAUUAUGCUUCCCAUCUAUCAAAAUUAACCACAUUGUGAAUUUCUUUCACACUCGAGUUCAAAACAACUACAUUAAGACCAAAAGGUCAAAUCAUUUAAAAUAUCUCAAAUAUUCAACAUCAACGUGCUUAUAACACAAACUUUAUCAAAAAAAACACAAUUUCCAAUGGGGAUUCACGAUCCAAAUAUCAAAAUCAUGAUAAAUAUCAUUCAAGAUUCAUGAUUUAUAUCUCCACACAUAUAAAUUUAUCUUUGAAAAUCAUAAACAUCAAGAUUUUAUAAUAAUCAUCAUAAGAUAUGGGUUCAUGCUUCAAAUUCAUAAAAAUCAAAUAAAAAUUAUGCCUUUGUAAAGAAAAUUAUUUUUGGGCACAAGAACAAAAGAGAGUUCUUGUUGAAAAACCUCACAUACCUUGAAUGCUGAACUUUAGAUCGAUACUCGUUUUUGAGAUGUUAAUCGUGCCUUUGAAUGAUGGUUCUUGGAGUUCUUGAACUAGGAACUUGGAAUCUUGAAUAACUUUGCAGAAUUGGUGAACUUUGGAGGUUCUUGAAGUUCUUGAACUAGGAACUUGGAAUCUUGAAUAAAUUUGCAGCAUUAAUGGUGAACUUUAGAGGUUCUUGAAGUUCGAUGUAGGAGCUUAGUGUUUUUUUUUUUGAGGGAAUUUGAUGAAAUAUAACAUAUAAUACUGCUAAUAGGCUUUAAUAUAGGGUUUGGACGAAUUUUGGGUGAGGGGGGAAUGACCAAAAUGCCCCUAAAAAUCAAAUAAUUCUCAAAUCUGCCCUUUGGUGCACUAUUUUGAUAGUCUGAAGUAGAUCAACCAUAACGUUUUACUUCGCUAUUCAAAUUGGAUGAAACCAAUUUCAUUAGAAAUUGGACUCUCAUAUCUUUCCGUUGAUAUAUAGUAUCUCACCCAGAUUAUUGUGUACAAGGAGUUAUGAUCGUUUGAAGGUGACCCAAAAAUUUGCUUUUGAUAGGCUGCAGUAGAUCGACCAUAAUUUUUUACUCCGAAAGACAAAUUGGAUGAAACUAAUUUCAUUGGAAAGAGGGCUCGCAGAGCUUUCCGUUGAUAUAUAGUAGAUAACCCAGAUCAUUAUGUACAAGAAGUUAUGAUAGUUUAAAUUUGGAGAAAAAAUACGCCAGGCCUCAGUACUUUUUCCUGCAUGUUUUACUGUUCACUACUAUUCACGGUUCGAUCGGAAUGUUCAUAACUCGUCGCUCGGGUGUCCGUUUUGGAUGAUCCACAUAUCUUUAGAAAGAUUAUUUGAUACUCUACGUAUAGGUGGGUCAUAAUCUAAGACAUUCUGCACGAAAAAUUUAUAAUUCAUUCUAGAAGAUAGAACCCAACACGUUUACGCACAAAAUUUUAAUGAAAAAUUUCCCGGGGUAUUACAUCAUCCCCCCUUGGAAACAUUCAUCCUCGAAUGAAGCUAGAUAUGCCAAGAUUAGAUAGGGAAUAGAGCAUACAACUGAAACCAUUUGUUAGACUCAUCACCACAUCGUUUCUCACUCCGAAUGCUACAUAAAAUGCAUAAAUUCAAGAAACUACAGCUGAACACAUAAUAAAUGACAGCUGAACUGCUGCAACUUUUAUCAAAAGUGCAUUAUUUAGGAAAGAGCAGUACCUUUGGCUUGAUCGGAGUUCGCGGAAAAUAGGUGUGGGAAAUUGGAUCGCAUAUCCUCCUCAGCUUCCCAAGUUGCACCCUCAACAGAUUGGUUUCGCCACAACACCUUGACCAAGGGAACUUCUUUGUUCCUUAGUCUUCGGACACUGAAAUCAAGAAUCUCAAUAGGAAUCUCAUCAAAAGAAAGAUUUUCUUGAAUGUCAGCACUCACAGAGGAAUCCACUACCACAACAUCGCUAAUAUGCUUUCUAAGCAUGGAGACAUGGAAUAUUGGAUGAAUAGAGGACAACUCGGAAUGCAACUCGACCUUAUAAGCUACCUUACCAACACGGCUAAGAAUUUUUUAAGGACCAACAUAACGGGGACUAAGCUUCCUCUUCUUUUUGAAUCUCUUCACCUCCCUCAUGGGUGAAAUUUUUCGAUACAUUAGGUCACCAACUUCAAACUCAAGGUCUCUCCUUCUAACAUCCGCAUAUGACUUCUAACGAAUCUGCGCAGUUUUCAACCUUUCCCUAAUCAACUUAACUUUUUCCAUAGCAUCAAUUAUCGAAUCAGGACCACUCACAGCCGCUUCACCCACCUCGAACCAACCUAUGGGUGAUCUACACUUCCUCUCAUAUAAGGCUUCAAACGGAUCCAUGCCAAUACUAGAGUGGAAACUGUUAUUGUAAGCAAACUCUAUCAACGGUAAGUGAUCAUCCCAACUUCCCUUAGAGUCAAGUGCACAAGCUCUCAACAUAUCCUCUAAGGUCUGGAUGGUCCGCUCAGCCUGACCAUUGAUAUGCGGAUGAAAAGUAGAACUCAAAAUCACUUGGGUACCAAGAUCCUUCUGAAAAGCUUUCCAAAAUUGCCGAAGUGAACUGAGUACCCCUAUCCGAAAUAAUAGACAAGGGAACUCCAUGCAGUCUGACUAGCUCUCGGAUAUACAAUCUAGCGUAAUCCUCAAUAGUAUAUGAAGUAUGAACAGGCAANNNNNNNNNNNNNNNNNNNNNNNNNNNNNNNNNNNNNNNNNNNNNNNNNNNNNNNNNNNNNNNNNNNNNNNNNNNNNNNNNNNNNNNNNNNNNNNNNNNNNNNNNNNNNNNNNNNNNNNNNNNNNNNNNNNNNNNNNNNNNNNNNNNNNNNNNNNNNNNNNNNNNNNNNNNNNNNNNNNNNNNNNNNNNNNNNNNNNNNNNNNNNNNNNNNNNNNNNNNNNNNNNNNNNNNNNNNNNNNNNNNNNNNNNNNNNNNNNNNNNNNNNNNNNNNNNNNNNNNNNNNNNNNNNNNNNNNNNNNNNNNNNNNNNNNNNNNNNNNNNNNNNNNNNNNNNNNNNNNNNNNNNNNNNNNNNNNNNNNNNNNNNNNNNNNNNNNNNNNNNNNNNNNNNNNNNNNNNNNNNNNNNNNNNNNNNNNNNNNNNNNNNNNNNNNNNNNNNNNNNNNNNNNNNNNNNNNNNNNNNNNNNNNNNNNNNNNNNNNNNNNNNNNNNNNNNNNNNNCUAAGUAUUGUUUUUCCUUCACUUCCGAAACCAAGGAGGAUUCAGAACUACUCUGAACCCCUAUACUACCUUCAGCAGAGUCAAAAAACCUAACCCCAAAUCUAGCCAAACGAUGUACAUCACAAGCCAACUCUUUCUUACCUUCUACCACAUGUGAAACACUACCUAUAGACACUCUACUUAGGGCAUCUGCCAUAACGUUGGCCUUGCCCGGAUGGUACAACACACUCAUAUCAUAGUCCUUUAACAAUUCUAACCAUCGUCUCUACCUAAGAUUCAAUUCUCUCUAGGUAAACACAUACUGUAGACUCUUACGAUUAGUGAAAACAUCAACAUGGACACCAUACAAAUAGUGUCUCUAGAUUUUCAAAGCAAACACAACACCAGCCAACUCAAGGUCAUGGGUGGGGUAAUUUUUCUCAUGGGUUUCCACUGUCUAGAAGCAUAAGCUAUCACCUUACCCUUCUGCAUCAAUACGCAACCCAACCCAACCCACCUCUCAAAGCAUCACAAUACACCAAAGAUGUGGCGCACUACACACCGAUGAUCAAGACUCUACUUAACGCGGCUUGUCAGACUCCCUAGGACACCUUAAAAUCUUAGGCUCUGAUACCAAGUAUGUAACGCCCCGGAAAAUGGGUCCCGAAGCGUCACACGAUGCUUGAGGCUACGAGUAGCCCCAAGCUAACCCUUUGAGCCAUUUUCAUUCAGUUCAACACAAAUCAAUGGAGUUUCCAUAAAUAACCCUCAAAUAUCAACAGAGUAAUCAUCAUCCAAGAAUAAAAGAAUUUCAGAAAGAUAACAAAAUAUGACUUAUUAGUCAACUCCUAACAUCUAUACUAGUCUGAUAAGCCUCUAAGAAAAUCAAUAAAACCAGCAAGCCAUUUAGACAUGCCUCAACUGACUCAUACUCAUUUAUCAAAUGUAAAUAAUACCGUGAAACCAACAUCAGACAUCACAUCUUUGGAACAUGAGGACUCAUGACAACAGAGGAUGUAGAACAGCAUGCCCGAAGAAUCACUGUCGAACCUAGAACUGAGCACCUGAACCUAUAUUCUGAGAAAAUACAGCCCACAUCCAAAGAUGUGGGUCAGUACCAUAGAAAGGAACCGAGUAUAUGGGGGUAUAUGCAGUUUUAUAAACAUCAUCAUCAUAAAUAUUUAUAAUAAAUAUGCAGGAUUUAGGAAAAACUCUCAUAGCUUGAAGAAAAUCAUCAUAAUAAUGAGAGGAUGAAAUAAGUAUAAUAACACAUGUGAGUCAUCAUAUAAUUUGUCAAUCACUCUCAGUUCAUCAGGAAUAUCAAUUCUCACAAUGUAAAUAUCAUUUAAAUCUUUUGAAAGAAUAACUUUCAUAAUUCCACUUUCAAAUCACUUCACCGUUCACCAUAGACACAAGGAAACACACACACAGUGGGAGAUCCUAUAACUGAGAUAAACCAUCUGAGCUACAUGGAGUCCAACGUACAACCCACGUUAGGGAGAGCCAUCCUAUCAUUGCCAUCGGAGUAGGACUAUCGAUAUCAAAUCCACACAAUCUAGUGAUCACUAUAUAAAUCAGUCUCAGGCCCACUCUUACGGGAGCAUGUAGUUCUAAGAAAGUAAGGUCGCUUUGUACUUCCCACUUAGUGUCAAAGAUUUCUCCUGGACUUAGCUUAGAUCAUUUCAAAGACAAUCCACAACAAAACAAUUUCAGUAAUAUAUAAAUAUACAUCGGGAGCCAUCAUACUUCCCAUCUAUCAAAAUCAACCAGGUUGUGGAUUUUUUUCACACUCGAGUUCAAAACAACUCCAUUAAGACCAAAAGGUCAAAUCAUUUAAAAUAUCUCAAAUAUUCAACAUCAACGUGCUUAUAACACACACUUUCUAAAAAAAACAUAAUUUUCAAUGGGGAUUCACGACCCAAAUAUCAAAAUCAUGAUAAAUAUCGUUCAAGAUUCAUUCUUUAUAUCUCCACACAUGUAAAUUCAUCUUUCAAAACCAUAAACAUCAAGAUUUCAUAAUAAUCAUCAUAAGAUAUGGGUUCAUGCUUCAAAUUCGUAAAAAUCAAAUAAAAAUCAUGCCUUUGUAAAGAAAAUUACUUUUGGGCACAAGAACGAAAGAGAGUUCUUGUUGAAAAAUCCCACAUACCUUGAAUGAUGAACUUUAGAUCGAUACUCAUUUUUGAGAUGUUAAUCGUGCCUUUGAAUGAUGGUUCUUGGAGUUCUUGAACUAGGAACUUGGAAUCUUGAAUAAAUUUGCAGAAUUAAUGGUGAACUUUGGAGGUUCUUGAAGUAGGAUGUAGGAGCUUAGGGUUUUCUUUUUGAGGCAAUUUGAUGAAAUAUAACAUAUAAUGCUUCCAAUAGGCUUUAAUAUAGGGUUUGGAUAGAUUUUGGGUGAGGAAAAUGACCAAAACGCCCCUAAAAAUUAAAUAAUUCUUGAAUCUGUCUUUUUGGUGGACUGUUUUGAUAGUCUGAAGUAGAUCAACCAUAACGUUUUACUUCGAUAUCCAAAUUGGAUGAAACUAAUUUCAUUAGAAAGAGGACUCUCGUAUCUUUCUGUUGAUAUAUAGUAUUUCACCCAGAUCAUUGUGUACGAGGAGUUAUGAUCAUUUGAAUUUGACCCAAAAAUUCUCUUUUGAUAGGCUGAAGUAGAUCGACCAUAACUUUUUGCUCCGAUAGACAAAUUGGAUGAAACUAAUUACAUUAGAAAGAGGACUCGUAAACCUUUUUGUUGAUAUAUAGUAGAUAACCCAGAUCAUUAUGUACAAGGAUUUAUGAUCAUUUAAAGUUGGAGAAAAAAUACGCCAGGUCUCAGUACUUUUUCCUGCACGUUUUACUAUUCACUACUAUUCAGGUUUGAUCGGAAUAUUCAUAACUCAUCGCUCGGGAGUCCGUUUUGGAUGAUCCACAUAUCGUUGGAAAGCUUAUUCGAUACUCUACAUAAUGGUGGGUCAUAAUCUGUGACAUUCCACAUGAAAAAUUUAUAUUUCAUUCUAGAAGAUAGAACCCAACACGUUUACGCACAAAAUUUGAAUGAAAAAAUUUACCGGGGUAGUACAGACAUUCUACCCAAAUAUCUCAAAAAUCUAGUACAUACCUUCUCACAAGUAGAACUAGUUUACAACUACCAAUGAAAAGAGGGUCAAGCUUGUUAAAGCCUCAUAAUAGACAUGGUCAACCUUAUCCUUAUAAUAUAACCGCAUACAACCGUAUCUACUUAUACUGCUUUCUCACAUCACAAUUACUUAACCAAGCAUACAUUUACACUACCUUCAAAUUCCUCAAACAACCAUGAGUCUGUAAUCAUAACUUACUCGCUAAUAUAGCCACUUUCACAUUCAAGUAACUAACAAAACCCUGACCAACAACUCCUUCUCUACCUUUUACUAAUAACACACAAGGACGAAUCACUUCAUUACCAACUCUAUCUCAUGCAAAAAGAUUCAGCUAUACAUAUAUUCAACCAACACAAGAACAACACGUUGAACGACAAAUUGCUAGUAAUCGAAAUAGGCCUCACACGGCUUCACUAGACUUUGAUUUUUUUUUUGAACAAGAAAAUGGGAUGAAUGACAAGUCAACUAUGCUAGUGAAUUGAAAGAGCCACACACGGCUUCACUAGACUUUUUAGUUUCAUCAACACAAUGAUAAAAUAUUUUCAAGAGGUAGAAACUUGUCACACAAUAUUCCAUAAUUGAAGAAUACACAUCUUACUUUGUAUAGAUAAAAAUCUGAGUCAAAUAUUUUCCCCACAGAUUAUCAUACAAUCCACACACGCUACUAGCUACCAACAGGUCAUGACACUGACACGUUAACUUGUACUACUAUUUGGGUGGAAAUACAAUUCCAACACUUCUACUACACAUCUUUUCCCUUAAGCAUGACAUCUGCAACAUAAAUUUCUAAAAAGAGCCGAAUAUACUCAAUACAGAAGGCUGAAAAGCACGAUUUCAUCAAUAUCAAGGUUCACACUAGAAUCCAUACACUCUGAAGCAAUAACGGGCUCUUCUCAAGGCCUUGCACAAUUUUAAGAUCUUAUAUGACGUGAUCCAAAGGGACAAUACCAUUUAGACUCUAAACUUCCGCACUUGAAUCACCCCAGUAAUGGGACAUGUCUGAGAACAAUAGAGUAAGGAAAGAAUUUGGGAUGACUUUACUUUCAUAUGGGCAAUACCAUAGCAUGAAUUAGAGCAUGAAAGAGGAAUAGUCCGAAUCUGUCGCGCGGACUAGAACAUGAAGAAAGAGAGACAUUCCAAAAUGCCUAGUAGCCUCCUGCUUAUAAGUGUGGUGCGCUACACACCCAAAAACAAGACUCUACCCGACACAAUUUUGCAGACACCCUGGGACCAUGAACCGCGCUUUGAUACCAAGUUUGUCACGACCCGAACCGGGGCCCGGGCCGUGACAAGUAUCCCGAACCAUGAAGGCCCAAAAUACGCCUAUCUAUCUGGUAAUCAUGCACAUAAUUCAAAUAAUAAAGAGAUACGGAAGACAAUAACAUUACGGAAAACAUGGUCAAGAGUCAUAUGAAAGCAAUAAUAGGGAAUAAUGUCCCAAAAUCUGAAAUCAACACCUCUAUAACGUCUACGAAAUCUCUACUACAUGACUGAAAUAAAUGUCUAUCUGAAAAAUGGGACAAGGCCCCCAGUAGACCCAAAACUAAUAAGAGAAAAAUGACAUUGCCAGAUAAUUAGGCCUUCUGAAAUAUAGAAGGCUCACCAAGUGAGUCUACAAAUCUGUCUGAGGAAUUUACUGAUUUUCUGGACCCCUAGACUGCGCCUCCGAACCUGGGAUGAAGGGGGUCAAAUCAAAAGUACUGGUACACAGAGAUAUCAAAACAAAACAUAAUAUUUUUACAAAAUAUAGAUGAGAGCUAUUAUAAAGCAGUUUCAUAUCAAGUCAUUUGAAAACACAUGGGCAUAAUGUAAUUGUUUUCAACAACAAUGUAAUGCAGCUGAGCUAGGUGGAAUACGCUAUAUAUCACAUUUACACUAACUGUCAAACCUCGGUUGCCGCCGAGAUUAGAGUAUACGUAAGGGGAAGACACACAAGAUCACACAGCAGGGUGUCUCAACCCAAUGGUAGUGCACAAGAUCACAAAGCAAGGCUCCUAACCAUAGUUCCAAUUUGGGAAUGACAUAAAGUCAGGUACGCAAGAUCACAAAGCAGGGUACCAAAUUUCCAUGUCGACAAAUACGAUUUCCAGUGAUGAGCCCUUACACUUAAACACCUUCUUCGGGCAUCCACCUAUCUCAUGUAAAAUUAAUGCAUUCAAAUUUCAUCUAAUUCAAUCACAUAUCAUAUUCUGUAGGGUAUUGUCAUACCCGACUUGCAAGCCAUCAUUAUCACAUCAUUCUUCUCAUUCAACUAUUGUAUUCAACAUGUGUCAACACAAAUAGCCCUCUCGUUUUCAAGUCAAAAUCAUAUCAAUUCUCAAAACAUUUCAUGUCAUGCUUUUCAAGAUAUUUUCAAACAAGUUACAUCAUAUGAACAUUUAAAAUAAAUUCACAUCAAGAGAGGGAUUCCAUAUCAUUCAUGCUCUCAAGUUAACAUCUUUUUGGAAUACAUGCAUAUACAUAUAUCAUAUAUCAAAUCACUUUGGAAUUAAGCCUAAAGACAAAAUCAAUAUCAUAAAGAUGCUUGAAACAUGUUUAUAUUCAUAAUUUCAAAACCCCCAUUUUUAAAACAUGGAUUUUUAAGCCCAUGAGAUUUUUGAGAUAACCUCACGUACCUCGAUUGCUACGAAUAUUAGGUGCUUCUUGAAGCCUAUGUUGCGAGGAUUCCAAAUAUGCAAUUAGUUUCUAAAACCCACGGUUGAAUCUUGAGUUUCUUGGGUUUUUAUUUUUAUACCCUAGAGAGAGUUCUUGAACAAUUUUGAUGAAUGAAGGUGUAUUUUGGGGUCUUUGGGAACUGAAUUUCGUAUUUAGGACUAAGUAAGGGCGGAAAAGGACCAUUUUGCCCCCAAAACAUAGUGUUUAAGUUACUUGAAACCUUUACAUAGGCGCUUCCUAUGCUAUUGCCUAUGUUUACAUAGGCUCCGCCUAUUCUAUCGUCAAUGUUUACAUAGGCGCCGCCUACUACUUUGAAAGGCCAUAACUUCUUGCUCGAGUGCCGGAUUUUAGCAAAAUUGGUAUCGUUGGAAAGCUAACUCAAAGAACUAUCAUUUUACAUAUAGUAGUCUCUCUAAUUCGACAUAUCCAGAGAUUUAUGGUCGAUGAAAGCUAAGACAAAUUACAAUGUCCACUAAAACUUAAUUGAUCAAAAUAGUUUCAACCCGUUCUUGAGUUGAAGGACCUCUAUGGUCUAAAUUCAAGCUUGAAUGGAUUCACAUACUACACAAAUAAUUAACAUGCCAUAUUAGCAUAGGAUUUAUGGCUUCGGGAUUAUCAAUGCAUCGGAAUCAUGGUCUAUAUUGUAGCCCAAAAUGCGGAGAGUUACAAAAAAAAUAACUAUGAAAUGACAUAAUUUAAGAUUGAACAAAAUCGGUAGAUACUACAAAUCAAUUGGGUGAAACUUGAAAGCUUAGAAGUGAAGAGCAACACCACUCCUCUAAGUAAAUAGAAUGUUAGCAAAAUCAAGUUAAUGUCAUCAUUUUUCCAAAUGGGGGAAUCAGUAGCUACGGUUAAGUCUGGAAAGGAUACAUCGUACAUAUAUGUAUAGAGAAGUAUCACUUAAAUGCAUCGACUUAUGCUUCAAUGCCAAAAAAACAACAUAGAAUUAUGCUUCAAUUUAAAACUUUAUGUUGAAUGUAGUAAAGAUUUUAGGUAGCUAUUGGACGAGAGUAUGAACAUAAACUGGCAAGGAGAAUCAACAAACUUAAUUUUCCUAUCCUUGAUUGCAGUGGAAGGGGAUCAAAAAUUGUAAACUUAAUGUUGGAUAUAAGUUGCAAAAAAAAAAAAAAAAAAGCUUGAUAUUAUUAUUAUGUUUUCGCUUGUAGAAUUUCAUAUCUUUUCUUCCUCGGGUUAAUAUAAUUAGAAGUGCAAAGUGAAAAGAAAGUCUUUUUCACUAUUUCACAGGUCCUUUCAGUUCUCCCUUGUCAUAUCCUUUGUAUCAGAUUACUUAACAUCGACUAGUGAAUAAUCAUUUUAGUCUACUGAAUAAUAUAAGCCUAUAAUAACAUUGACAAUUUUCAUAUUCACUGAAUGUAAGAGUAAUUUGUAUUUUUAUAUUUAGUUGUAUACUUGACUUGACUGAGAAACUGCCUUUCCCAUUCCUCGUCCCGAUUCGCUAAAAUCUCAGUUUACUUCUUCCCUGCUCCUUCCCACAACCCUCAAAAUCCAUGUUCCAUUGCCGACCUAGUCGUUUCGAGAUAUUUUAAAAUCUCUCUCCAUUGUUUUGCUUCUUUAAUCCAGAAGAUGAUUCCGUGCAAGUACAUCUUCCCCUCACUUUCUUUUCAAUUUGUUUCCACGUCUGCUUCCUUAGAAAUAUACUAGAUUCUUGAGCAUAAGGAUUAAUAUAGCGAUCUAGAAUUUCGAUUUAAUGCCCAUCUCAAGCUCCAUUUUAUUGGAAAAUUUCACAUGCAAUUUCUCUUGGUAGCUUUCUUUUAUUCCUUCAUUAAGUUUCAUUAAAUUCAAUAAAUUUCGUUAAAUAAAUUAUUGAACGCUUCUUUUUUUGUUGGAUUAAUGUUUUUCCUUUUUCUAUUUUUGAGAGAAAAAAAUAAUUAAGUAAAACAUAAUUAACUUAAUGAUCACUUCUCCUAGAAUUCUAUGUUCUCAAGUUUUUCCAUCUUAUUCCAUAAUCAAAGCAAUUAAAUAUUUCCUCUCUUAUUAGUUCAACCUAUUCUUGCUAAUAUUAUUGUUAUUACUGAAGUAAAAGAAGAUACAACCUUUCAUUGGCCAAAUAACUAAAUUAAUAAAAGGACAAAGCCAUAAAUUUAAUUAUGUAUUCGCAACACUAAGAAAAUAAAUUAUUUCAUGAAAAUAGUAGAAAAGAAAGGUCAAACUAAAUCUCCAUGAAGAUGCUGGGUAAAGUUCUCCUUAUAUGUCGUUUGCAGAAUACAUAGAAUCAAAUUCAUACAAAUCAUCACUUGCACAGUUGCAAUAAUCAUAAUAUUUGUCACCUUGAAUCACUUUCUCUUAUUAGUUCAUUUUGUGAAAGCGGACAAACUAGGGUUGGAAAGAAUUCCGUCAAAAGACCAUAAUCAAAUUCAUUAAUAUGUGAAGAGUUGCUUAUGUUAUCCUUCGGAUUGUACAUCAUUAUUUUACCAUGAAACAUACGCAAAAAACCACCUCAUUAUUUUGCUAACCUAGUUUUUGAUUUUGCAGGCACCUAUGAAUUUCAUAAUUUUCAGGAAGUUCCGUUAAAAGGCAAGAAAAUCAUUCUCCUUGAUAAGCAGAGUUGUCCUAAUUUGAGGAUCAGAAAAACAAAGGAUGCAGGUGCAACAUCAUAAGGUUGUUGAUAUUGUUUAACAAUGACUAUAAUGGACAAUAAUCAGAAAGAUAAGUAAACAAUUACUAAUAUACUUGUGAUGUCUCAAUAAUUUUCAGUUGGUCACUAUACCAUGCACCUGGUGAGAGCUUGAGGUGUUAAUUAUGGUAUGUUACCAGGACUCAUGGGUUAUUAGUAAUGUGUUUACUUGUCUAAUGAUUAGUAUUCAUUCACAGAAGAUAUGGUUAAUUCUAAGUGGCGUUAGUUUUGGGGGAUAUAACUUAAGAUGGUGCUAUUAACCUGAUUGGGGUUCAAUCCAUUAAAGAUGAUAUUUAAAGAAUCUAAACGAUCUUAGGAUCUGCUGUUAUCAAAGAGGUCAAAUACUAUAUUAAGAUCCUUUUCAUGAGAUUUGAAUGAUACCUGGAAGCAACCGCAGUAUCAUUGCAACUUGGAGGUUAAAUAGCAACUGUAGUUUAGCUUGGAAAUAUAAAGGAUGAUUUCUGUAAAAAUAGGCACAAGAAGAAAGUAAAUCAAAGAAAUUGAAGGUAAAAUGAAAUUCUUACCUUGGUUGGUAUUCCCAAACUUCUGAUCUGAAGGAACCAAUUGAAGAACUCCGAUUGUUGGAGAUCUUGAGAAAAAGAACCGUUUGAAGGAGUAUCAUUUUCAUGGAAUUUUUCAAAAAGAUGGACAAGAGCAGAGCAGCUCAUUAAUGGUGGCAGCAGCAAUAGUUUGGUAUAGUGGAUGGAAGGUCUGGUAACUUUCCUUUUUCCAAAUUUGUUAAGACCAGAUAUUGCUUGUAGAUUUUAUUGUUGCUUUUAUGGACUGGGUCACUUUUGACCCGGGUGUGAACAAUUUAUUUUGGGUUUUAAUAAAUGGGCCAAGUAGCUCAACUUUGAAUAAUAAUAAA